AGUGAACGCUGGCGGCAGGCCUAACACAUGCAAGUCGAACGGCAGCAUAGUGAGAGCUUGCUCUUACGGGUGGCGAGUGGCGGAAGGGUGAGGUAUAUAUGGGAAUCCACUCUUACGUGGGGGAUAACGUAGGGAAACUUCUGCUAACAAAGCAUAUGUCCUACGGGUGUAAGCAGGGGUUCUUUGGACCUUGCGCGAUUGAAAGAGCCGACGUCGGCUUAGCUAGUUGGCGGGGUAAAGGCGCAACAAGGCGACGAUCCGUAGCUGGUCCGACAGGGAGUUCAGCCAGACUGGAACUGAGACACGGCCGCGACUCCGACGGGAGGCAGCGGUGGGGAAUAUUACGCGAGGGGGGAAAGCCUGAUCCAGCCAUACCGCGGGAGGGAUGAAGGCCUUCGGGUUCGAGAGCCCUGUUGUUCGGAAAGAAAAACAGCAGUUUUACACGCGACUAUACCGACGGUACCCGAAGAAUAAGCUCCGGCUAACUUCGUG
rnacentral:rRNA from 1 species